rnacentral:misc_RNA from 1 species
AGCAGCCGCGGUAAUUCCAGCUCCAAUAGCGUAUAUUAAAGUUGCUGCAGUUAAAAAGCUCGUAGUUGAAUUUCGGGAUCAAUAUGUUGGUCGUGCCUCGGUACGUACUAGCUUAUUGGUUUCUUCCUUCUGACGAACCAUAAUGUCAUUUAUUUGGUGUUAUGGGGAAUCAGGACUGUUACUUUGAAAAAAUUAGNGUGUUUAAAGCAGGCUCACGCUUGAAUACAUUAGCAUGGAAUAAUGAAAUAGGACGUUUGAUUCUAUUUUGUUGGUUUCUAGGAUCGACGUAAUGAUUAAUAGGGAUAGUUGGGGGCAUUAGUAUUCAAUUGUCAGAGGUGAAAUUCUUGGAUUUAUUGAAGACUAACUACUGCGAAAGCAUUUGCCAAGGAUGUUUUCAUUAAUCAAGAACGAAAGUUAGGAGAUCGAAGACGAUCAGAUACCGUCGUAGUCUUAACCAUAAACUAUGCCGACUAGGGAUCGGAUGAUGUUAAUUUUUUAAUGACUCAUUCGGCGCCUUACG